rnacentral:rRNA from 1 species
GACGAACGCUGGCGGCGUGCUUAACACAUGCAAGUCGAACGAAAAGAGGGAAAGAGCCUGCUCUUUCCGGAAUUGAGUGGCAAACGGGUGAGUAACACGUAAACAACCUACCUUCAGGAUGGGGACAACAGACGGAAACGACUGCUAAUACCGAAUAAGUUCCAAGAGCCGCAUGGCCCAUGGAAGAAAAGGUGGCCUCUACCUGUAAGCUAUCGCCUGAAGAGGGGUUUGCGUCUGAUUAGCUGGUUGGAGGGGUAACGGCCCACCAAGGCGACGAUCAGUAGCCGGUCUGAGAGGAUGAACGGCCACACUGGAACUGAGACACGGUCCAGACUCCUACGGGAGGCAGCAGGGGGGAAUCUUCCGCAAGGGGCGAAAGCCUGACGGAGCAACGCCGCGUGAGUGAUGACGGCCUUCGGGUUGUAAAACUCUGUGAUCCGGGACGAAAAGGCAGAGUGCGAAGAACAAACUGCAUUGACGGUACCGGAAAAGCAAGCCACGGCUAACUACGUG